rnacentral:rRNA from 1 species
CACGUAGGGUGCGAGCGUUGUCCGGAAUUAUUGGGCGUAAAGAGCUCGUAGGCGGUGUGUCGCGUCGGCCGUGAAAACCUGCAGCUUAACUGUGGGCUUGCGGUCGAUACGGGCAUCACUGGAGUUCGGCAGGGGAGACUGGAAUUCCUGGUGUAGCGGUGAAAUGCGCAGAUAUCGGGAGGAACACCAAUGGCGAAGGCAGCUCGCUGGGACGUGACUGACGCUGGAGACGCGAAAGCGUGGGGAGCGAACAGG